rnacentral:rRNA from 1 species
UCUACUACUACCCUGAACACGCCAGAUCUCAUCUGAUCUUGGAAGCUAAUCAGGGUCAGGCCUGGUUAGUGCUUGGAUGGGAGAAACAGAAAUGAGUUGAA